CCUACGGGUGGCUGCAGUGAGGAAUAUUGGUCAAUGGGCGAAAGUCUGAACCAGCCAAGUAGCGUGGGGGAUGACUGCCCUAUGGGUUGUAAACUUCUUUUAUAUGGGAAUAAAAUGUUCCACGUGUGGGAUUUUGUAUGUACCGUAUGAAUAAGGAUCGGCUAACUCCGUGCCAGCAGCCGCGGUAAUACGGAGGAUCCGAGCGUUAUCCGGAUUUAUUGGGUUUAAAGGGAGCGUAGGUGGUUUGUUAAGUCAGUUGUGAAAGGUUGCGGCUCAACCGUAAAAUUGCAUUUGAAACUGGCAGUCUUGAGUACAGUAGAGGUGGGCGGAAUUCGUGGUGUAGCGGUGAAAUGCUUAGAUAUCACGAAGAACUCCGAUUGCGAAGGCAGUUCACUGGACUGCAACUGACACUGAGGCUCGAAAGUGUGGGUAUCAAACAGGAUUAGAUACCCCAGUAGUC
rnacentral:rRNA from 1 species